rnacentral:rRNA from 1 species
UACGUAGGGGGCUAGCGUUGUCCGGAAUCAUUGGGCGUAAAGCGCGCGUAGGCGGUCAGGUAAGUCCGGUGUGAAAGUCAAAGGCUCAACCUUUGAAUGCCGCUGGAAACUGCCUGACUUGAGUCCGGGAGGGGCGAGUGGAAUCCUGGUGUAGCGGUGAAAUGCGCAGAUAUCAGGAGGAACACCAAUGGCGAAGGCAGCUCGCUGGGACGUUACUGACGCUGGAGAACGCGGAAGCGUAG